rnacentral:rRNA from 1 species
GAUGAACGCUGGCGGCGUGCCUAAUACAUGCAAGUCGAGCGAACGGACGAGAAUCUUGCUUCUCUGAUGUUAGCGGCGGACGGGUGAGUAACACGUGGAUAACCUACCUAUAUGACUUGGAUAACUUCUGGACACCGGAGCUAAUACCGGAUAAUAUUUUCAACCGCAUGGUUCAAAAGUGAAUGACGUUCUUGCUGUCACUUUUAGAUUUUUCCGCGCUGCAUUAGCUAGUUGGUAAGGUAACGGCUUACCAAGGCAACAAUGCAUAUCCGACCGGAGAGGGGGAAAGGAGACAGUGGAAGAGAGAGACGGACCAGACUCGGACGGGAGGAAGCAGUAGGGAAUAUGCGGAAAUGGGGGAAAGGAUGACGGAGCAAAGCGGCGUGAGUGAAGAAGGAAAUGGGAUGGUAAAACUCUGUUAUUAGGGAAGAACAAAUGAGUAAGUAAAAGUGGAAAAAAUGACGGUACCUAAUGAGAAAGCAACGGCUAACUACGUG